GAUGAACGCUGGCGGCGUGCCUAAUACAUGCAAGUCGAGCGAACGGACGAGGAGCUUGCUCCUCUGACGUUAGCGGCGGACGGGUGAGUAACACGUGGAUAACCUACCUAUAAGACUGGGAUAACUUCGGGAAACCGGAGCUAAUACCGGAUAAUAUUUUGAACCGCAUGGUUCAAUAGUGAAAGACGGUUUUGCUGUCACUUAUAGAUGGAUCCGCGCCGCAUUAGCUAGUUGGUAAGGUAACGGCUUACCAAGGCGACGAUGCGUAGCCGACCUGAGAGGGUGAUCGGCCACACUGGAACUGAGACACGGUCCAGACUCCUACGGGAGGCAGCAGUAGGGAAUCUUCCGCAAUGGGCGAAAGCCUGACGGAGCAACGCCGCGUGAGUGAUGAAGGUCUUCGGAUCGUAAAACUCUGUUAUUAGGGAAGAACAAAUGUGUAAGUAACUGUGCACGUCUUGACGGUACCUAAUCAGAAAGCCACGGCUAACUACGUG
rnacentral:rRNA from 1 species